rnacentral:rRNA from 1 species
CAUGCAGUCGAACGAGAGAAGAGAAGCUUGCUUUUCUGAUCUAGUGGCGGACGGGUGAGUAACACGUGAGCAAUCUGCCUUUCAGAGGGGGAUACCGAUUGGAAACGAUCGUUAAUACCGCAUAAUAUAAUUGAACCGCAUGAUUUGAUUAUCAAAGAUUUAUCGCUGAAAGAUGAGCUCGCGUCUGAUUAGCUAGUUGGUAAGGUAACGGCUUACCAAGGCGACGAUCAGUAGCCGGACUGAGAGGUUGAUCGGCCACAUUGGGACUGAGACACGGCCCAGACUCCUACGGGAGGCAGCAGUGGGGAAUAUUGCACAAUGGAGGAAACUCUGAUGCAGCGAUGCCGCGUGAGGGAAGAAGGUUUUAGGAUUGUAAACCUCUGUCUUCAGGGACGAAAAAAGACGGUACCUGAGGAGGAAGCUCCGGCUAACUACGUGCCAGCAGCCGCGGUAAUACGUAGGGAGCGAGCGUUGUCCGGAAUUACUGGGUGUAAAGGGAGCGUAGGCGGGAUCGCAAGUCAGAUGUGAAAACUAUGGGCUUAACCCAUAAACUGCAUUUGAAACUGUGGUUCUUGAGUGAAGUAGAGGUAAGCGGAAUUCCUAGUGUAGCGGUGAAAUGCGUAGAUAUUAGGAGGAACAUCAGUGGCGAAGGCGGCUUACUGGGCUUUAACUGACGCUGAGGCUCGAAAGCGUGGGGAGCAAACAGGAUUAGAUACCCUGGUAGUCCACGCCGUAAACGAUGAUUACUAGGUGUGGGGGGACUGACCCCUUCCGUGCCGCAGCAAACGCAAUAAGUAAUCCACCUGGGGAGUACGACCGCAAGGUUGAAACUCAAAGGAAUUGACGGGGGCCCGCACAAGCAGUGGAGUAUGUGGAUUAAUUCGAAGCAACGCGAAGAACCUUACCAGGUCUUGACAUCGUAUGCAUAGCUCA